CUUAUGAUGCUUGCCUUGCCAACUCUCUGCUCCGCGGUCUUCGUGGUCAUAGCAACCGCGCCAAGGGGGACUCGAAGCCAAAUCAAACCCUUCUCUUCGCGGCCUAAGCAACAGGAAGAAGAAAGGCUGUCGAUAGCGGACGCGACAAUAUAAUUCCUUUUUUCGUUUUCAUCCCCCUCGAUCUCGAAUCGGACCGACGAGUUCUCACUUCGCGAUCCAGAUGUCUGCGGCGGCUAUCGCCUGCAGUAGAGGCGCCGCCGCGUUAGGGUUUCGUUGCAGGUCGCUGAUGCGGCUGCCGGCGGCGCAAGUCGGGUGCCCUCGGUCCAAUUUGUCGCUGCUGCAGCGCUUCUCUUCGCAACUAGUCAAGAGCAACGGGAGUAGGGCUUGCCUUAUCGACACGCUCGCUCUGGUCAGGAGGUUGGAGAAGGAAGGGGUCCCGUCGAAGCAAGCGGAGGCCAUCACAUCGACCAUCACGGAGGUUUUGAAUGAGAGCUUGGAGAGUGUCGCCCAGUCCUUUGUGUCCAAGCCCGAGAUGCAGAGGAGUGAGAUGAUUCAAGAUUCUAAUCUCUGGAAAUUCAAAUUGGAAAUGAAGGGCUCGCAGUACCUAACUCCAUCAUUGGUGAUUCUGAAACGGAAGCUACAAAAGAUGGUCGUAGCCUGUCAGAUUUCAAGUAUGCUUGUGUUGGUUAUUCAGUUUUCCUAGAUAGGAAAGAUAAUACUGCUGAAAAGCCAGAGAACCAAGCAGAAUUUCCAUUUUGUGUGGGCAUAGAGGUCAUUUCUUGCUUCUCUGACUUUCUUAACUGCAUGUUGCUUGGUAUUGUGUUCCUUUCAUAUUUUUUCAGGAGUAUGCCUUUUUGAUCUCUAUUGUAUAGGUCUAAAUGUUCUUACUGGAACAAAUAAUUGAUUACAUGUAUCGACUAACAUUGAUACGCUAUUGUUGUCUAUAUGCAUAUACAACUGAUGCUUUGGUUAUUUUAUAUGCACAGACGACAAUUGUUAUUUUUAGCUGUAUGCACAGGCAAUCACCACUAAACUUUUGACGUAGCUUAUCUAGCAUCAGUCACGCAAAGGUAGAUUAGUUCAGAAUAAUUUUAUCCAAUACAUAUGUGGUGGUUGUUGAAUUUGGCGCUGGGUUUAUAUUCACCUUUCAUACUAUUUCUUUUAAGAAUAAUAUUGUGUUUGUAUAACCCAAAAGGUAUUGAAUUCACAAUCAAAGACAGAGAAAAAUGUUUAGAUAAUUAUGGAUUACAUGGAGAAUUAUCUGCAUUAAAGAAAUCCUGAUACAGAUGUUGUUGGAUGGGAUCUUCUUCUCCCGUAUUGUGUAUAAUGAAAUAUGCUUCCUGUACUUGAUCUUAUCACGUUUGAGAUAUCCAUUUGUGCUAGGAUGUGUGCUUUAGUUUAUAAGAGAUGGAGGACAUCACUGUGCCAAGGAGUGCUGUAAGAUGUAGAAUAUAGGUGACAUAAAGGAAAGCUAAAGAGUGCAAUUUGGAGAGUUAACUCUUGUAUUUUUUUCCCUUGCAAUUGUGUUUCAGAACUUUUCUUUUCAUUGUCAGUUCGCUAACAUCCAUAUGAAAUUUAUUGCAGAUAUUGGCGGACAGAAGAACUUCAACUGCUGGUCAAAUUCCUGCAAAUGUUAACAAGGAAGGUGAUGGACCGUAAACGAUCUUUUGGAAGUUCUAUUUUAUUUAAAACAAGGAUGGAUGUCAAUCUAUGUUUCUAGCUACAUUGGAUCAUAAGGCCAAUUUCUUGAUAUCUUUGCUAUAUUUUAUCAUCGGUUAUGGGGUUAGGUUCAGCAACAUCUAUGGCAUUUCAUGAGCCUUAAUUUCCAAUUUUUGGAACUAUUUCACAAAGGUCGAUAAGGUGGACAAUAUGGAAAGAUCAGUAUUAUGAACAACAUGAACCUUUUGUUCUAGCUCACUAGAGGAAGGUGGUGGACGGUAGAUCUUUUGUAAGCAUUUGUUAUUUAAAUGGAUCAAGGAGUUGGGAAAGUAGAGCAUAAAUAUAUGUUAAUUUUCUAUAUAUUUAAAUGAAGAUAAUGGCUGAGGUCAACAUGUAACUUUUGUUUUUUCUUGUAGAUAUUAGUUCGGAAUCUUGACCAGUAAUUAGCUUAGAGCAUUUUCUGGUCUUGAAAAAAGAAAAAGAAAAAUGUCAUUGUAUCACUACUGUUUUAUGCUAAGCAUAGAAAAUGAGUCAAGUAGAAUGUAGAUGUCAAACAAAACUUAAGGUUUGUUUGGUACAAUCAUGGGUGGAAAAACAUUGACUUGGGAAGUUGUGACAAAUUGGAAAUUUUUGUUAUCCUUGACCAAUUUCUAAUACGUGCAAAGAGGAUUAUUAUUACAUGUUAUCAAAGAUGAAUACUGAAAAUUAUUUGCAUUGUCAAAUCAAUAUCGAAAAUUUUGAGCUAGUUUAAUGAGGGAGUUGCUUUUUAUUUCUUUUAUAUAGGCAACAUGUAGUGGAUUAAUCACUUGAAAGUGAUCAAAAGCUUUUGUUGUUCUUAAUAGAAGAUCUGCAAAUGCUUCUCUAAAACCUAGAGGUUUCUCAAGCUUUUUUGCCUUAGUGGAACCUAAUAUUACCUUGAUAGCUCGUGUGCAAAUCUGGAAGUGGCAUUUGGUAGAGCAAAAAAGUGCAUAUGCUGCAGCUAAUCAUUUUUUUGGGAUCUUGUGCGUGUGGUGAGCAGCAUGGGUUGAUGUUUGGCCUUUGUUGGCAUAAAAUUGAUUUGAUGGAGAGGUACAAGUGCUCUCAUGUUUGGAGGUUUUGAUAAGGAAGAGGUCUGCUGUCUUAAGAGGAUGACAUUUUUGCAGAGUUUGCUCCUUCGCUGUAGAAAAUUUUAAGUUGGUUUUUAAUUCAAGGGUUUUAACUAAUAAUUUGAGAUCAAGCACUAAUAACUUUUUAAUUACACCUCAAAUUGUUGUGAGACUUUAUGUUUGUCAAUUUGCAUGAAAUUCAUAUAUACUGAAGCAUCAUAUUAUUUUUUUGCAAUACAUCCUGUAUCUCUUAUCAAUAUAGCUCAGGAAAAGGCCCACUGUUGGGAUCUUGGGGCUAAUUGGUGUUGCAUCUUGUCUCUUCUAAAACAUUUUUCCCAUGAAACAAGUUAUUCAACAUUUCUUGCUAUUCUCGGUGCAUGAACUGCUUUCUUAAUUUUGUGUCUUACCCGUUGCUUGAUAUCGUAGUAGAUGCUACACUACAUUCUCAGCCACACGCACACCAACCAGCUCAGCAUUCAGUGGAUGAAUUCUUCGGCAAGAAGAAAGUUUAGAAAGAAUGCUAGGGUGGUGGCCUCAGGUGUAGCUAGGAACCUGAACAAAGUGGGCAACUACAUAAAGGAAAACAUUGAUGACAUUUUGUAUCCUUAUCGCAAGCCACCCAAGUAAAACCUUCUAUUGACUAACAACGCAGGUGCGAUUGUUUGAACUUUGUUUCUUUCUAUUCCAUGUUCAAUAAGCUCAAUUCUACCUAGAUGCUGCAUAUGAGUUUGGCCAUUGCUGGUAGUAACCACAAGGCCAAUGUAAGCAGCGCUGGAGCACUUAGCACUCUUGAGUUCAAAGUUUUAUCAUCUGUUGCAUGUAUUUUACUUUUCUAGUGAUAACAUGUAAAGUUUAUCCAUUGAAACUUCUUUAUAAUAUGGACUUUAUUAAUGAGCACUAUAAAUUGGUGAUAAGUUUAGAAAUUUUA